GACGGAGGAUGCAAGUGUUAUCCGGAAUCACUGGGCGUAAAGCGUCUGUAGGUGGUUCAAUAAGUCAACUGUUAAAUCUUGAGGCUCAACUUCAAAAUCGCAGUCGAAACUAUUGGACUCGAGUAUAGUAGGGGUAAAGGGAAUUUCCAGUGGAGCGGUGAAAUGCGUAGAGAUUGGAAAGAACACCAAUGGCGAAAGCACUUUACUGGGCUAUUACUGACACUGAGAGACGAAAGCUAGGGUAGCAAAUGGG
rnacentral:rRNA from 1 species